CGCUGAAGUCUCCCAGCGAGAGCCAGGCCGAGCCCCACCGGCUCCCCCAACAGGGCUCCCCGCUGCCCUCCCUGCAGCGCUGGCUCGGAGCUGAGAGGGAGCGAGUCAGCUGAGGGCUCGCGGGGAGUUCCCGGAGGCGAGCCUGGGUGGGGUAAAGGAGCCCCUGGGAGAAGGACGGUCUCGGGAAGAAAGGCAGUGAGGGUGGGGAUUGCGUCUGUCUCAUUCACUGCUGAGUCCACUGCAGUGGGCGGUGGACGUGCAGUGGGCGAUUAAAUGGACAGGAUCCACGGAUCCAUGAGGCAGUGAGGAGGUGUUAAAAAAUGCAAGUAGCUCUGUGUAGCUGGGGUUCAAGCUCAGGGGAUGCCUGGUUCCAGAUGCAGCUGGAGAAGCAGGACUGCUGACUCUUCCAUACGCUGCCAAGGACAACACUGGCCAGUGGAAAUGAAGUGUUUGCUGACCCACGAGCCUGGGGUGACAUGGAGCUUUCACUAGUAGAGAAGGGUGCUACCUCCAAGUGACUUGUUUGGGUCUCUGGAAAAGUGUUCUUAGAUGUGGGACAUCAUCAUCGCCCAGAUGUUUGCGCAAUUGCCUUGGUUGUCAUCUCUACACUUGUUGGUGGCGGCGGUGGUGUAGCGUGGCAGGGAGGGGAGACAGAGACUUGAGAGAUCACACCAGGUGUCCCUUGGCUGCUCUGUCCCCAUCACUCUCCGCUGCCCUCUUACAGCACAUGCUGUUGCCUCUCCUGGACCGCUCUGACUUGUCCCGCUCCCAGCCCAGCCUGGGUUAGACAGCUCUGUUCUGUGCUCAGGUUGGCGGUUUACAGCUAGUCAGUGUGCAUCACAUGCCUGAAAGUGCCUGAGUUGUGACUCUCUCCUAUCAUACCUGAAGCUCUUUGAGAGCAGAGACCAACUUGUAUUCAAGCUGGUUCUCUCAUCCCUGUUGAUGCCUCACAUGGAGAAUCCACUCGAAUUCUUGCUGAAAGCACGAAGCCUGAACCUCUUCCUUGUAAACUCGCAGCCUCUGAGGCACAAGCCCUUCUGUAGCCCGCCCGAUCACGGUAAGGAGUGGUGGAAGGGGGCAGACACACACCUGCUGCCCUGCGCCCGCGCCUUCCCCCGAGGCCCAGCGCCGCGAGCUCCCGCGAGCGCAAAUCCGGACGGGCGCUGGAGGGCGGACACGUGUGGGGAGGCUCCUCGGCGCGGGAGCUGAGGUUCUAGCUGUCCCCGUGAGGCCUCUGCUCACACCUCUGCUGGAAUCCUGAUAAGGCUUCAGAAAGGACAGAGGCUGCCACGGGGUCUACACACAGGAAUCAUUUUCACUCACUCAAUAAGUACAAAGUAUAAUGUAAAUAUAUACAUCCACCAGACUCAAGUGUUUGCAUUUCCCUGAAGUUUGUGGAUAUAGAAACAUACGUAUAAUAUAAUCUUAGUGAAAAUUGUAAAUGGAAGAUGCAGAGAAAAUGAAGAAUUUGCAUAGUAAUUCACAUUACUGAAUUUUUUCUUACAAAUCAUACAACAUUAUUAUUCCUGUUAGCAGUGGGCAAACUGAAGCUUACUUAUAAAACAGGGUAAGGCUACAUGCCUUGGGUCUCACAGUUGUACGUGAAACUGCUGAUUCAGACUCAAGUGUCUGACUCCAAGCUACAUAUUUCUUUUUCAGAGGAAGCAUUGCAGCGAGAAUAAAUCAAUCAGGAAUGAUCCAUAUCAGCAAAGGAAUGCAGUAUAUUUGAAAUAAUGCAAUUAUUACUUCUACACCCAUUCCUGCCAAAACUCACUAAAAAUAUGAUUAGAGGUUUGGGGUGGGGCAGAAACCUCUGGCAUGUGGUCUUAUCUUGCAUAAGCUUUCUGUGUCAGAGUAUUUGAGAAAAACAAGAUACACGCUCUUUCAAACACAAAUUUUAUAUGGGUUUAAGAAACCAGCAACGUAUAGUUGAGAAAGACUAACACUAAUUUUAAUUUUUUAUCAUUCCAUAAGCAAUAUAUGUGCAGGAUAGAAAAUUAAAAAAAUAAAGAUGUAUAAAGAAAAUGGUAAAAUCCUAUUUAAUCCUGCUACCAGUACUAACUACAGACAGCAUGCUGGCACAUUGGACCACGAGCGUGUGUUGAAGGAGAGAAGGCAUUUCCUUCCAGUCUCUUUUCUAGUGUGUGCAUGUAUGUCGUUGAUGUAACUGAACCCGUAUCACGUCAUAUCUCUUUUCCAUGUAACAUUUUGUCACAAAUGUGGCAAAUACAAAUUGCCCCCCAGAACUCAGGAAAGCAAGGAAUACAACUUUCUUUUCCUUACUGCACUUCCUUCUAUUUUGGGCCCCCAUCUGACAGU